GCAAGUCGAACGGAAACGAUAGUAGCUUGCUAUUAGGCGUCGAGUGGCGGACGGGUGAGUAACGCGUGGGUAUCUGCCCAGUCGCGGGGGAUAAGCCAGGGAAACUUGGUCUAAUACCGCAUACGCCCUACGGGGGAAAGGCUUCGGCCACGAUUGGAUGAGCCCGCGUUAGAUUAGCUAGUUGGUAAGGUAAUGGCUUACCAAGGCGACGAUCUAUAGCUGGUCUGAGAGGAUGACC
rnacentral:rRNA from 1 species